ACCCCCUGGCAAAAGGCAAAGAGACACCUUAUUAGGGUUGUCAUUCUUAUAUCAGUCAGGAGCAGAGCAGAUGGCAGUAUUUUGUUCAUCCUAGCUUGAUGCCUGGGUUGAUGGCCAAAGAUGUUUUAUGACUAGGACAUAAAA